UUUUUACGGAGAAUUAAAGUUUCAAUGAGGAUUUUGGUUGUUUGAAUUAAACUAUAAGUUAUGGAUUAAAAAACUUCCAAAUGCAAACUUUGUGUUUACAGAUUAUAAGCGAAUUUGUGCUCAGCACUGGCCUAAAGAUGCAGAAUUAAAAAAAGUCAAAGGUGGUAGUUUUGUUCCAGUGCAUCCUCCAUCAGUCUUUAAAGGUAUACCAGUGUCUUGUAUUCCAAUAGUGUCUAGAAAACGAGAUGUCACUGGGUUAAUAUGCUCUGAAAGAAAUAAUUUACCUGAUGAGUUCGAAAACUUCAAAAAAAUGGACGUUAUUAAAUUUAAUUCAAUUGUAAAAAAUUUGAAGUCAAUAAUAAAUAACUGUGAAGAAAAAUUUUAUUUUGUUGAAAAAGAAAAAAAUAUAUCUUUAAUAUCAUAUGAACAUUGUGGACCAGUACCUAAGUUUUCAAUAUAUAUAACUUUAGAAGAUUCUGGAGAUAUUUAUUUUACUGGAUAAAGCCAACUUUUACAAAUUAAACUGUCUUUUUUAAACAAAGGAGUUAAUAAAUAUUAUUCUCAACUGGAGAAUGCUGUUAGUUAUGUUAUUAAUAAUGAAACAGAUUCUAAGCGAGCAAGUUAUAUUAGGCAUCAAGUAGCUUUAUUAAAUAAAACAAACAAUACACCAUUUUCUUUAGAAGACAUUUCUGAUGCAUUGCAUCUUUAUUCAAAAUCUCGUUUAGUAUAUUUUGAUCUCGUUGAAAAGCUUGUUUUGCUACAAAUUUUACAACAAAUUUUCAAACAAGCGUGAUAGAAGAGAUAAAUCAACAAAUCAUAAUUGCAGGUGGAAAGCCUCUUGGGUUAAUAAUGGAUAACUGUUGAGUAAACCAAAAAACAUUUCAAUAUUUUAAUGCAAAAAAAGUUCCAGCAUACUAUCUUUUAAAUGACACUGUGCAUAUUUUAAAAUGUAUUCGAAAUAAUUGGAUCACUGAACAAUUACAAUAUUUAAAAUAUAGAUUGCUAAAUGAUAACGAUACUGUGCGACUUGCAGAAUGGAAAUUUAUAAUUCAACUUCAUGCUGCAGAUAGUCGAAUAGUUAAGUUGUCAC